UACGCAGGGGGCUAGCGUUGUUCGGAAUCACUGGGCGUAAAGGGCGCGUAGGCGGCCAUAUAAGUCGGGGGUGAAAGCCUGUGGCUCAACCACAGAAUUGCCUUCGAUACUGUAUGGCUCGAGACCGGAAGAGGUAAGUGGAACUGCGAGUGUAGAGGUGAAAUUCGUAGAUAUUCGCAAGAACACCAGUGGCGAAGGCGGCUUACUGGUCCGGUUCUGACGCUGAGGCGCGAAAGCGUGGGGAGCAAACAGG
rnacentral:rRNA from 1 species